ensembl:lncRNA
GUUUAUUUAAUCCAAUCCGUCUGAGACAUAUGAGAAUUAAUUGCUGACAAGCGACAGGCCUAAAGCACAGAAAAAUUAGCGUUUUAAAUACUUAUUCAUUCUCUGUUAUAGUGGACAAGACCGCAAGUCACACUGAACAGCAGAUUGUUGUCUCAAGCCAGU